AGAAUCAACGCUGGCGGCGUGCCUAACACAUGCAAGUCGCACGAGAAAGGGACUUCGGUCCUGAGUACAGUGGCGCACGGGUGAGUAACACGUGAAUCAUCUACCUUCGAGUGGGGAAUAACUGAGAGAAAUCUUAGCUAAUACCGCAUAAUACCUACGGGUCAAAGCAGCAAUGCGCUUGAAGAGGAGUUCGCGGCAGAUUAGUUAGUUGGCAGGGUAAUGGCCUACCAAGACGAUGAUCUGUA
rnacentral:rRNA from 1 species